rnacentral:rRNA from 1 species
UACGAAGGGGGCUAGCGUUGUUCGGAAUUACUGGGCGUAAAGCGCACGUAGGCGGAUCGAUCAGUCAGGGGUGGAAUCCCAGGGCUCAACCCUGGAACUGCCUUUGAUACUGUCGAUCUGGAGUAUGGAAGAGGUGAGUGGAAUUCCGAGUGUAGAGGUGAAAUUCGUAGAUAUUCGGAGGAACACCAGUGGCGAAGGCGGCUCACUGGUCCAUUACUGACGCUGAGGUGCGAAAGCGUGGGGAGCAAACAGG